GCGAAGAUGAAGACCGUUGCCAUGUCUCUCAUAGUUACGAAUAUUAAUUAAACAAAUCAUUCUCCCUUACAGGAGGCGUUUCUGUGGUGUAGUGGUUAUCACGUCAGUCUUACACACUGAAGGAGGUACAAAAUACAGGACUGAAUUAAAGACCCAAAUUGCCUAGACCCAAACCUUGUAUCCAGGUACAGGUAUCCUCCUCGGAUUUAGAUGCUCACAUAGCUUAGACUGAUGCAAAUGGCUGGCAAAGCUGUGCACAUUUGGAGAGGAAGUUGUACUCAGUUAGCAUAAACAUUAAUUCGGACUCGGGCAGUAACUUCAGGGUGGAGCUUCAGCUCUGCUACAUAUUCUCCUGUUUCCCUGAUCUCUGGAAGAAAAACAAUUCUUUUGUCCACAUC